rnacentral:rRNA from 1 species
CGGCGCGCUUACACAUGCAAGUCGAACGCGAAAGGCCCUUCGGGGCCGAGUAGAGUGGCGCACGGGUGAGUAACACGUGAGUAACCUACCCUCGAGCUCGGGAUAACCUGCCGAAAGGCGGGCUAAUACCGGAUGAGACCACGGCUUCCGAGGAAGCAGUGAGAAAAGCCGGGGACCGGAAACGACCUGGCACUCGAGGAUGGGCUCGCGGCCUAUCAGCUUGUUGGUGGGGUAAUGGCCCACCAAGGCGAAGACGGGCAGCUGGUCUGAGAGGAUGAUCAGCCACACUGGAACUGGGACACGGUCCAGACUCCUACGGGAGGCAGCAGUGGGGAAUUUUGCGCAAUGGGCGAAAGCCUGACGCAGCGACGCCGCGUGUGCGAUGAAGGCCUUUGGGUCGUAAAGCACUGUCGAGCGGGAAGAAAACCUUCCGGUUAAUACCCGGGAGGCUUGACGGUACCGCUAAAGGAAGCACCGGCUAACUCUGUGCCAGCAGCCGCGGUAAUACAGAGGGUGCAAACGUUGCUCGGAAUUACUGGGCGUAAAGAGCGUGUAGGCGGUCUGUUAAGUCGGCUGUGAAAGCCCAUGGCUCAACCAUGGAAGUGCAGUCGAUACUGGCGGGCUAGAGUCCCGGAGAGGGUGGUGGAAUUCCCAGUGUAGAGGUGAAAUUCGUAGAUAUUGGGAGGAACACCGGUGGCGAAGGCGACCACCUGGACGGGUACUGACGCUGAGACGCGAAAGCGUGGGGAGCAAACAGGAUUAGAUACCCUGGUAGUCCACGCCGUAAACGAUGAGCACUAGGUGUUGCGGGUAUUGACCCCUGCAGUGCCGACGCUAACGCA